AUCCGAAGCAGGCUCUGGGCUCUGAGAUCAUGACCUGAAUUGAAGUCGGAUGCUUCACCGACUGAGCCACCCAGGUGCCCCUGAAUUUUCUAUUUAUUAUUAGGUGACCUUAGUGGAAGCCCAUUGUUCUACUUAACAAUUAUACCCUUUGCCUCCAAAUUAGAGAUCAUAAAUACACUUUUUUUUUUAAUCUUAGAAGAAAGCUGUUAGGAUGGAAAUAAUACCUGCAUGCAUAUAUUGCUUCGGGUAACAUGACAUAGAAGUGUGAGUAGCAUUUGUUAUUAAUAUGCUGCUGGAUUAUAGAACCGUUACAUUAAUUUGAAAGUGAAUGCCAAGGGUCAGACCAGGAAUAGAAAAGAAGCACCUUCAUCCCUACCCUCUUUUCCUGUACGCAUUGCAGGCAUCACCAAUGGAUAGCAGAACUCUUCAUCCUGGAGGCCACACUUCAUUUCAGACUCCUUCUCAAGCAGUCGUGAACCACGGUUGAUGAUUAAUCAAGCCGUCACUCAUCGGGUUAAGCUAUUAAUCAGAGCUGGCUCAAGAGAUAAAACCCAGGUGUUGUUUUUAACACUAGAGCCCGUGACCUAUGAAGGAAGCCACGAGUAAGGAAGAAUCUCGUUAGUGGUCAGAAAUCCACAGACAAAUGCCCAUUUCGCUGUCAACAGCACCUAUGUUGUCCCAUUCACUGUCUUCCUUCGUAAUGGUGGGAUUUUGUCUGGGCGCACGGUUCCUCAGAAUCAAAAUGGAAUAUUCUGUUCUCUUCUCUGCAGCUGGAUGUGGCGAUGGGAGGAGGGGUUUUGGCCAGUGGGACAGAAGCCACUAUGUUCAGUGGCAGUUUCUGGGAACCCUUCUCAGGAGGCAGUCACACCAGCUCUUUGCCUCUUCUCUUCGUCUCUUCCCGCAUUCUGCGGCUGGCAUGAGGACUCGCCCCGAGGAGCGAUGACAAAACAGUGAACUGGGGGAACACUCUGCUUCUCUCUUGUUUAAGACACCACUCAACAGUCAGGGCAAUCCGGUUGGAAAAACAUGGCACGUUGAUGUCCACUGGGACAGUUGCCAUAAGCAGCAGCAGGAAUGUGAUGAGGUAAUGAAAUGACGCAUUGGGCAACUGGGAUGUCGGAUUUUGACUUGGGCCCCGUGGUAACAGCUCAUGAUUCGUACCUAGCUUCUUGCAGUAAAUGAAAAUGUGAUGGAGGUUACUACCGAACGCAGAAAGGAAGAAAAAGUGGGAAGUGGUUUAGGAGAAGCGAGGGCUGCAAGAACUGUUUUGCAACGUGUGUGAAGAGCAAACGGAGGGGCGGACAACUCCAGUGUCAUUGAACACAACCCAGUUCUCCAGCCACCCGGGACUGUUCUGAUACUAACCAGAACUGUGAACUCCUGUGACAGGCAGUUGACUGGAAGAUGGGCCAGGAGAAAGGCAGGUGUGGGCUGUUUUGCAUUAUGAGUGAACAUUGCACGCUUUUGCCAUACCCUUGGACUGAUGGACUGUCAGGACUGGAAGGGAACCUGAAAUUCAGCUGGUCUAACUACAUUGUGUACUUACUGGUGUGGAAAUUGAGUCUCCAGGAGAUGGCCUGAAUUGCUUCUAUUCACAGAGCUACUCUAGGGCAAAUCCAGACGCUGGAGUCCGAGAACAUUCUUGACUGCCUGUUUAUUAAAGCAUUGUUCUACACUCUUCCUCCUGCUUUUAAAAAAGGAAAAUCUAAUUUGCUUUUGUUUAUUUC